AACGAACGCUGGCGGCAGGCUUAACACAUGCAAGUCGAGCGCAUCCUUCGGGGUGAGCGGCAGACGGGUGAGUAACACGUGGGGAUCUGCCCGAUGGUACGGAAUAACUCAGGGAAACUUGAGCUAAUACCGUAUGUGCCCGCAAGGGGAAAGAUUUAUCGCCAUCGGAUGAACCCGCGUCAGAUUAGCUAGUUGGUGUGGUAAAGGCGCACAAAGGCGACGAUCUGUAGCUGGUCUGAGAGGAUGAUCAGCCACACUGGGACUGAGACACGGCCCAGACUCGUACGGGAGGCAGCAGUGGGGAAUAUUGGACAAUGGGCGCAAGCCUGAUCCAGCCAUGCCGCGUGAGUGAUGAAGGCCUUAGGGUUGUAAAGCUCUUUCGCCGACGAAGAUAAUGACGGUAGUCGGAGAAGAAGCCCCGGCUAACUUCGUGCCAGCAGCCGCCGUAAUAC
rnacentral:rRNA from 1 species